rnacentral:rRNA from 1 species
GGAAAAGAAACUAUCAAGGAUUCCCCUAGUAACUGCGAGUGAAGCGGGAAAAGCUCAAAUUUAAAAUCUGGCUUAGCUUCGCCGCCCGAGUUGUAAUCUAGAGAAGCAUUAUCAGCGCUCGCGGCGUGUACAAGUGUCCUGGAAUGGACCAUCAUAGAGGGUGACAAUCCCGUCUUUGACACGGCUGCCUUUAGUGCUAUUGAUGUGCUCUCAACGAGUCGAGUUGUUUGGGAAUGCAGCUCUAAAUGGGUGGUAAGUUCCAUCUAAAGCUAAAUAUUGGCGAGAGACCGAUAGCGAACAAGUACCGUGAGGGAAAGAUGAAAAGAACUUUGGAAAGAGAGUUAAACAGUACGUGAAAUUGCUGAAAGGGAAACGCUUGAAGUCGGUCGCGUUGGCUGGGUAAAUUCGAGAAAUCAACCUUGCUUUCUUGAAAGCUUGGCUUAUUUCCCAGCUGACGGGCCAGCAUCAGUUUUGACCGGUGGAUAAAGGCCAAGGGAAUGUGGCACCUCUUGGGGUGUGUUAUAGCCCUCGGUCAUAUACAUCGGUUGGGACUGAGGAACUCAGCACUUGUUGCUUAGGAUGCUGGCAUAAAGGCUUUAAGCGACCCGUCUUGAAACACGGACCAAGGAGUCUAACAUGCCCGCGAGUGUUUGGGUGGAAAACCCGAGCGCGCAAUGAAAGUGAAAGUUGAGAUCCCUGUCAUGGGGAGCAUCAAUGCCUGGACCAGAGCUUUUGUGAUGGAUCCACGGUAGAGCGUGUAUGUUGGGACCCGAAAGAUGGUGAACUAUGCCUGAAUAGGGUGAAGCCAGAGGAAACUCUGGUGGAGGCUUGUAGCGAUUCUGACGUGCAAAUCGAUCGUCAAAUUUGGGUAUAGGGGCGAAAGACUAAUCGAAUC